rnacentral:rRNA from 1 species
CAGCCGCCGCGGGAAUACAGAGGGUGCGAGCGUUAAUCGGAUUUACUGGGCGUAAAGCGUGCGUAGGCGGCUUCUUAAGUCGGAUGUGAAAUCCCUGAGCUUAACUUAGGAAUUGCAUUCGAUACUGGGAAGCUAGAGUAUGGGAGAGGAUGGUAGAAUUCCAGGUGUAGCGGUGAAAUGCGUAGAGAUCUGGAGGAAUACCGAUGGCGAAGGCAGCCAUCUGGCCUAAUACUGACGCUGAGGUACGAAAGCAUGGGGAACAAACAGGAUUAGAUACCCCUGUAGUCCCUGUCUCUUAUAU